GCCGGGUGUGGUGGUGCACGCCUGUAAUCCCAGCUACUCAGGAGGCUGAGGCAGGAGAAUCCCUUGAAUCCAGGAGGUGGAGAGUGCAGUGAGCCAAGACAAUGCCACUGCACUCCAGCCUGGACAACAGAGUGAGACUCCAUCUCAU
ensembl:misc_RNA Metazoa_SRP Metazoan signal recognition particle RNA